GACAGAGGAGGCAAGCGUUGUUCGGAAUCACUGGGCUUAAAGCGCGUGUAGGCGGCCCGGAAAGUGUCGUGUGAAAUCCCAUGGCUCAACCAUGGAAUGGCACGGCAAACUACCGGGCUGGAGGUCGGUAGAGGUGCCUGGAACUCUCGGUGGAGCGGUGAAAUGCGUAGAUAUCGAGAGGAACGCCAGAGGCGAAAGCGGGGCACUGGGCCGAUUCUGACGCUGAGACGCGAAAGCGUGGGGAGCAAACAGG
rnacentral:rRNA from 1 species